UACGGGGGGGGCAAGCGUUGUUCGGAAUUACUGGGCGUAAAGCGCACGUAGGCGGGUUGUUAAGUCAGGGGUGAAAUCCUGGAGCUCAACUCCAGAACUGCCUUUGAUACUGGCAACCUAGAGACUGGAAGAGGUUAGUGGAAUUCCCAGUGUAGAGGUGAAAUUCGUAGAUAUUGGGAAGAACACCAGUGGCGAAGGCGGCUAACUGGUCCAGCACUGACGCUGAGGUGCGAAAGCGUGGGGAGCAAACAGGAUUGAG
rnacentral:rRNA from 1 species